UAAUACGGAGGGUGCGAGCGUUAAUCGGAAUUACUGGGCGUAAAGCGCAUGUAGGUGGUUUGUUAAGUCAGAUGUGAAAGCCCGGGGCUCAACCUCGGAAUUGCAUUUGAAACUGGCAGACUAGAGUACUGUAGAGGGGGGUAGAAUUUCAGGUGUAGCGGUGAAAUGCGUAGAGAUCUGAAGGAAUACCGGUGGCGAAGGCGGCCCCCUGGACAGAUACUGACACUCAGAUGCGAAAGCGUGGGGAGCAAACAGGAUUAGAUACCCUGGUAGUCCACGCCGUAAACGAUGUCUACUUGGAGGUUGUGGCCUUGAGCCGUGGCUUUCGGAGCUAACGCGUUAAGUAGACCGCCUGGGGAGUACGGUCGCAAGAUUAAAACUCAAAUGAAUUGACGGGGGCCCGCACAAGCGGUGGAGCAUGUGGUUUAAUUCGAUGCAACGCGAAGAACCUUACCUACUCUUGACAUCCAGAGAACUUUCCAGAGAUGGAUUGGUGCCUUCGGGAACUCUGAGACAGGUGCUGCAUGGCUGUCGUCAGCUCGUGUUGUGAAAUGUUGGGUUAAGUCCCGCAACGAGCGCAACCCUUAUCCUUGUUUGCCAGCGAGUAAUGUCGGGAACUCCAGGGAGACUGCCGGUGAUAAACCGGAGGAAGGUGGGGACGACGUCAAGUCAUCAUGGCCCUUACGAGUAGGGCUACACACGUGCUACAAUGGCGCAUACAGAGGGCGGCCAACUUGCGAGAGUGAGCGAAUCCCAAAAAGUGCGUCGUAGUCCGGAUCGGAGUCUGCAACUCGACUCCGUGAAGUCGGAAUCGCUAGUAAUCGUGGAUCAGAAUGCCACGGUGAAUACGUUCCCGGGCCUUGUACACACCGCCCGUCACACCAUGGGAGUGGGCUGCAAAAGAAGUAGGUAGUUUAACCUUCGGGAGGACGCUUACCACUUUGUGGUUCAUGACUGGGGUGAAGUCGUAACAAGGUAGCCG
rnacentral:rRNA from 1 species